rnacentral:rRNA from 1 species
GAUUUCUGGCUUGAUACAUUUUGCCGGCCACGGUUUCGUGUGUUAGUGCAUGAUGUUCUGGCCAUCCUUCCAAUCGCUGCUUGCUUCUCUUCACUGAGUGGUAAGUGGUAUUGGAUCUUUUACUUUGAAAAAAUUAGAGUGUUUCAAGCAGGCUUUAUGCUAUGAAUACAUUAGCAUGGAAUAAUAAUUUAGGACUUCGGUUCUAUUUUGUUGGUUUCUAGGACUGAAGUAAUGAUUGAUAGGGAUAGUUGGGGGUGCUAGUAUUCAGCGGCCAGAGGUGAAAUUCUCGGAUUCGCUGAAGACUAACUUAUGCGAAAGCAUU